AGAAAUAAUGGCAAAACUAUGUCUGAACUCUUUGAACUGUUCUCACUCAUUACUCAAUGUGAGUGAGGAUAUUGAGGUUGAAGUGGAGGAUGGAGGAGCUUAUAACUUUAAUCAUAGAGUUCCAAUCCUAGCAGGUCUAGUUGUCAUAUCUCUCCUUGGGAACACUGCAGCUCUUUGUAAACUAUUCUUCGGAACAGAAAACACACAGG